CGGUUCCGGGAGGAGGCUCCGCGCAGGCUCGGCUCGCCCUCCCGCCUCCAAAGGGCACGGAGGCAGGGCGCGGGGCACCGUGGGCUCCAAUGGCCGGUCUCGCCCCGCCCCGCCGGGCCUCCCGAGGAUGGGGAUUGGCUGCCCGGCGCCGCCUACGCCCCGCCCCGCCCCGCCCCGCGCUGCAGAACCGGCCUCCGCGGUGCGCGCCGUGCGCCGGCCUCCCAGUCCCGUGCAGCCGGCGGUGAGUGCGGCGCAGCCGCCGCUACAUUGUAGCGGGCGGGGGUCCCGGCCCACCUUGUCUGCGGGGGCGAGAGCGGGUCCCUGAGCGACCGUGGGCCCCGGGAGAUUGUCUCCAGCGCCUGCGGACGCCCGGCCUGAGUACUAAGCGCAGGUAUGUCCCUUUUUUGAAAUGCAAUGACCCAGGCCCGGAGCACGUGGCUAAUGGCGACCAGAGGGUGCCGGGCGCCGGUUUGGCGCAAAGGCCAGAAUCUCCCCGCCUGGCCUGAAGGGCAUUUACCUUCGCGGCUCCGCGGGGCAGAACAGCUGCAUCUGAUGGAGUCGGAUUGUUCAAGAAGCCGCCGCGAUCUCGGGGUACUGGGGAGAGGCCUGCAGGAAGCCAUAGGGAACCCUGUAGGGAAACUUCACGUCGCCCUUUCCAGUGCCCUUUUAAGGUUGACUGAGUGCCUUAAGAGGCUAACACAGAAGGGUACAUGAAGCAAGUCUCCAUAAAACCCAGAGAAGAGGUGGCAAAACUCCUCUCUGGAUCCUGUCUGGAGUCACAGCUGAAACCAGGAAAUUCCCUUUCGGUUUGAGCGCCUUUUGUUAUUUUUACACAGCCAUGAGCAGAGUGAUCCAUUUCAUCUUAGCGGCCGGGAUACUCUCAGGCCUGCUUUUAAAACUCUGGGGGUACCAUCUAGUGUUUUCGAAUAGAUAUGGGAAUUUGGGUACUUUGGUUGUCUUUGAAGGCGGAAGAAAUCCAGAUGGUAGAACCUCAUGUACACAAGGCUUUUUCUGAACAUUUGAGACAUAUCUCAAAAGUUUUAACUGUUGAGUCAUUCAGUAACUUUUUUUUUUAUAGGUUAAAAACUACAGGUACGAGCCGUUGGUGCUGGAAUGCUGUGAUGCUGGUGUAUUUUAACGGACUCCAAACCGACUUUCAGGCUAAGUACGCAUAGCGAGGUCAGACAUGGUUAUAUAAGUUGUAGCAGCCACGUGUCCACACGCAGUAGCUGGUGGUGAAAGAGCAGAGCAGCGGGCACCUCCUGGUUUUCAUCUUUUCAUUUAAUUCUCACAACUAUGUGAAGAUAGAGCAACAUUAAAUCCCCCCACCAGUCCUUAUAGGACUCUGGGCCACCCCUAUAUCCACCAGGGACACAAGUCUUAGGGAUUGGAAGGAACACUAAUCUGUAUGGAAGGACCUCGCCCAGUUUUCUUACAUGAUAAAGUUCCAGGGAAUGCCAUUAGACCCACCAUACUAGGGUCAAACCCUAGGUUCAGCCUGAGGACCCACCUCCUCUGGACCUGGCUUACACCUUUUUUGCCAAAACAAAACAACCCAGAAUGCUUCUAAUAUUCCAGAUAAGGCUCAGCAGUCUCUUGUAUUAUCUCCUAAUUCCAAUAGCGGCUUAUCAAUUACCCAACCUUACUGCCUUUACUUUACAAUUCAAUACCACCUGCUGAGGAUCUAGAAAACCAGUAUCUCUUUGGAACUGGGGGGCACUUACUGCUGAGCUAGUCCAAGGAGAGCCUCCCAAAUCCUGGUAUUGCUAAGGGAAUCCCCUUAAGGGUGUAACCCAAGGGCAGUUGGGUCACUUAUCUGUGAUUCUCAAAACACCCUACUUUUGAAUUCCCAAAGGGGAGCCCUAUUGGAACAAUUCAU